GUCGAGCGCACAGGUUUACCUGUGAGCGGCAGACGGGUGAGUAACGCGUGGGAAUCUACCUUAAGCUGCGGGAUAACAGAGAGAAAUUUCUGCUAAUACCGCAUGUGCCCGGAAGGGGAAAGAUUUAUCGGCUUAAGAUGAGCCCGCGUUGGAUUAGCUAGUUGGUGGGGUAAAGGCCUACCAAGGCGACGAUCCAUAGCUGGUCUGAGAGGAUGAUCAGCCACACUGGGACUGAGACACGGCCCAGACUCCUACGGGAGGCAGCAGUGGGGAAUAUUGGACAAUGGGCGCAAGCCUGAUCCGGCCAUGCCGCGUGAGUGAUGAAGGCCUUAGGGUUGUAAAGCUCUUUCACCGGGGAAGAUAAUGACGGUACCCGGAGAAGAAGCCCCGGCUAACUUCGUGCCAGCAGCCGCGGUAAUACGAAGGGGGCUAGCGUUGUUCGGAAUUACUGGGCGUAAAGAGCGCGUAGGCGGAAAAGUAAGUCAGGGGUGAAAUCCCGGGGCUCAACCCCGGAAUUGCCUUUGAUACUGUUUUUCUUGAGUGCAGAAGAGGUAAGUGGAAUUCCGAGUGUAGAGGUGAAAUUCGUAGAUAUUCGGAAGAACACCGGUGGCGAAGGCGGCUUACUGGUCUGCAACUGACGCUGAGGCGCGAAAGCGUGGGGAGCAAACAGGACUAGAUACCCUGGUAGUCCACGCUGUAAACGAUGGAAGCCAGCUAUUGGGCAGUUUACUGCUCGGCAGCGCAGCUAACGCAUUAAGCUUCCCGCCU
rnacentral:rRNA from 2 species